AUACAUAGCCUUUGCAAUAAUAUUCAACCUUGAAGUUGACCUUGUUAUCGAUUUGCCGGGCCCGGCAAAAAUCCAAUCGAAAACAAGGUCAACUUCAAGGCCAUCAGCCAGGCGCUCGCAAAGAAAAAUGGUCGUUAUUGACAGAAAAUAAUAAGCGGAAAGUUGUUUUGACUAAGUUUGGAUGGUAAACACAAGAAAGACCCAAAACUGAGUCAAAUUCCUCUGAUGAUAUUAGACCCACGGUGGAGAACCCACGUGACUCAUUUGGUAAAGUGCACGGCAAGAAAUGUCAACAAGUCUCGAUUCAGAAUAUGAAGACUCCGACUUUAUGCAAAGAAUGCGGAAUGGCAUUUCAAAAUAAAAAAAACAAACAUCUAGUAGACCACGAUAGAAGGCAUUCUGGUCGAUUGCCAUCGUUUUUGCGGGAAAGUGUUUACACAGACACAGGUGCAGCAAUCAGGGCGAGACAAAGUUGCACGUUUGCAAAUAGUGUGACAAAACUGCCCUUGCAAGACUUGAAGAUACACGAAAGACGCGAAAGCGGCCAAUUGAAGCUAACCUGUGGUGUGUGUGGGUUCAAAUUGGGUGACACGACCAAUCUCAGUGACCAGAUUUCUACUAGACACAGGGGUAUGACACGUCACAAAUGUCUACAGUGUCGCUCAGCGUUCAAGUUCAAAUCUGGACUCAGCAGGCAAUUUAAGGCGAAACACACCUAAUCAUGACACAUUGAAAGAUUACAAUGGUCUAGUUAGAAGUGCAUUCCAGUAUGUUGCCGAGUUAAAAUAACGUUUUCAUGAGUUUAACAUUUUAUUAAGAUAAAUAGCAAAACGUACUGUUACCAAAUGGUGCUCUUUCAAAAUGUUCGUUUGUAUUACAGUACUGAAAAAAUUGCAGUGUAAAAAUAGUAUGAAAAC